rnacentral:rRNA from 1 species
AGAGCGAACGCUGGCGGCAGGCUUAACACAUGCAAGUCGAACGGAUCCUUCGGGAUUAGUGGCGGACGGGUGAGUAACACGUGGGAACGUGCCUUUAGGUUCGGAACAACACAGGGAAACUUGUGCUAAUACCGGAUGUGCCCUUCGGGGGAAAGAUUUAUCGCCUUUAGAGCGGCCCGCGUCUGAUUAGCUUGUUGGUGAGGUAAAGGCUCACCAAGGCUACGAUCAGUAGCUGGUCUGAGAGGAUGGCCAGCCACAUUGGGACUGAGACACGGCCCAAACUCCUACGGGAGGCAGCAGUGGGGAAUCUUGCGCAAUGGGGGAAACCCUGACGCAGCCAUGCCGCGUGGAUGAUGAAGGUCUUAGGAUUGUAAAAUCCUUUCAGCGGGGACGAUAAUGACGGUACCCGCAGAAGAAGCCCCGGCUAACUUCGCGCCAGCAGCCGC